rnacentral:rRNA from 1 species
GACAGAGGGUGCAAACGUUGUCCGGAAUCACUGGGCGUAAAGGGCGCGUAGGCGGCCUGAUAAGUAGGGGGUGAAAUCCUGCGGCUUAACCGCAGGGCUGCCUUCUAAACUGUCAGGCUAGAGCACGGUAGAGGCGAGUGGAAUUCCCAGUGUAGCGGUGAAAUGCGUAGAUAUUGGGAAGAACACCGGUGGCGUAGGCGACUCGCUGGGCCGCAACUGACGCUGAGGAACGAAAGCCAGGGGAGCGAAUGGG